rnacentral:rRNA from 1 species
UAACGCGUGAGCAAUCUGCCCUUAAGAGGGGGAUAACAGUCGGAAACGGCUGCUAAUACCGCAUAAAGCAUCAAAUUCGCAUGUUUUUGAUGCCAAAGGAGCAAUCCGCUUUUAGAUGAGCUCGCGUCUGAUUAGCUGGUUGGCGGGGUAACGGCCCACCAAGGCGACGAUCAGUAGCCGGACUGAGAGGUUGAACGGCCACAUUGGGACUGAGACACGGCCCAG